rnacentral:rRNA from 1 species
AUUGAACGCUGGCGGCAGGCCUAACACAUGCAAGUCGAACGGUAGCACAGAGAGCUUGCUCUCGGGUGACGAGUGGCGGACGGGUGAGUAACGUCUGGGAAACUGCCCGAUGGAGGGGGAUAACUACUGGAAACGGUAGCUAAUACCGCAUAACGUCGCAAGACCAAAGUGGGGGACCUUCGGGCCUCACACCAUCGGAUGUGCCCAGAUGGGAUUAGCUAGUAGGUGGGGUAAUGGCUCACCUAGGCGACGAUCCCUAGCUGGUCUGAGAGGAUGACCAGCGUCAUUGGAACGGGGGCGCGGUCCAGACUCCUACGGGAGGCAUCAGUGGGUAAUAUUGCACAUUGGGCGCAAGCAUGAUGCAGCCAUGCCGCAUGUAUGAAGAAGGCCUUCGGGUUGUAAAGCACUUUCAGCGGGGAGGAAGGCGGUGAAGUUAAUAACUUCACCGAUUGACGUUACCCGCAGAAGAAGCACCGGCUAACUCCGUGCCAGCAGCCGCCGUAA